UGGUUUAAUUCGAAGCAAACGCGAAGAACCUUACCAAAUCUUGACAUCCUUUGACAACUCUAGAGAUAGACCUUUCCCCUUCGGGGGACAAAGUGACAGGUGGUGCAUGGUUGUCGUCAGCUCGUGUCGUGAGAUGUUGGGUUAAGUCCCGCAACGAGCGCAACCCUUAAGCUUAGUUGCCAUCAUUAAGUUGGGCACUCUAAGUUGACUGCCGGUGACAAACCGGA
rnacentral:rRNA from 1 species